rnacentral:rRNA from 1 species
CCUACGGGUGGCAGCAGUAGGGAAUAUUGCUCAAUGGGGGAAACCCUGAAGCAGCAACGCCGCGUGGAGGAUGAAGGUUUUAGGAUUGUUAACCCCUUUUGUUAGAGAAGAUAAUGACGGUAUCUAACGAAUAAGCACCGGCUAACUCCGUGCCAGCAGCCGCGGUAAUACGGAGGGUGCAAGCGUUACUCGGAAUCACUGGGCGUAAAGAGCGCGUAGGCGGGUUAGAAAGUCAGAUGUGAAAUCAUAUGGCUUAACCAUAGAACUGCAUUUGAAACUGUUAUUCUUGAGUAUGGGAGAGGUAGGCGGAAUGCGUGGUGUAGCGGUAAAAUCCGUAGAGAUCAAGCGGAAUACUCAUUGCGAAGGCGACCUGCUAGAACAUAACUGACGCUGAUGCGCGAAAGCGUGGGGAGCAAACAGGAGUAGAUACCCGUGUAGUC